UGGGGAAUAUUGCACAAUGGGGGAAAUCCUGAUGCAGCGACGCCGCGUGAACGAAGAAGGUAUUCGUAUCGUAAAGUUCUGUCCUAUGGGAAGAUAAUGACAGUACCUUAGAAGAAAGCUCCGGCUAAAUACGUGCCAGCAGCCGCGGUAAUACGUAUGGAGCGAGCGUUGUCCGGAAUUAUUGGGCGUAAAGGGUACGCAGGCGGUUUAAUAAGUCGAAUGUUAAAGAUCGGGGCUCAACCCCGCAAAGCAUUGGAAACUGAUAAACUGGAGUAGUGGAGAGGAAAGUGGAAUUCCUAGUGUAGUGGUGAAAUACGUAGAUAUUAGGAGGAAUACCAGUAGCGAAGGCGACUUUCUGGACACAAACUGACGCUGAGGUACGAAAGCGUGGGGAGCAAACAGG
rnacentral:rRNA from 1 species